rnacentral:rRNA from 1 species
UACGUAGGGGGCAAGUGUUAUCCGGAUUUACUGGGUGUAAAGGGAGCGUAGGUGGUUUGGUAAGUCAGAAGUGAAAGCCCAGGGCUCAACCCUGGGACUGCUUUUGAAACUAUCAAACUAGAGUGCAGGAGAGGUAAGUGGAAUUCCUAGUGUAGCGGUGAAAUGCGUAGAUAUUAGGAGGAACACCAGUGGCGAAGGCGACUUACUGGACUGUAACUGACACUGAGGCUCGAAAGCGUGGGGAGCAAACAGG